CACUUCUGAAUACUUUCUGCUCGAACGUCUUAAUCGAGUCAUAUGCAAUCGAACUUCUUCUUCGUUUUUGCUACUUCUUAAUUUGAGAGUCAUAUGAAACUCUCAAAUCUCUUCGUUCUCUAUCUGUUUUUUCACGCUAAAAAACAACUAAUUUUCCAGGAGAUCCAAGACCUGUAAAAGCAUCAAAAUUAUCUAGGAGAUUGAAGAACAUAGUAGCGGUUGAUGUAAACUUCGAUAAUUUUUUCAACCCUGACUCCUGAAAUACAGGUUUGCGGUUUUGAUUCAGGGUUAUUGUUAUUCAAAUCAAACAUGUUCAUGGAAUUUUUAAGUGAAGAUCUCUUUUUUGAAGCCAAAUUAAGGAAAACCAAUCGGGGUUUACCCAAUGGUGAAAAUUCUCUAAGGAUGGUAGAAAUUACGGUUUUGCUUGAUAAAACAGGGCUUCAGGGUACUCAAAGUUUCUACCAAGAAUUAUAAAAGCAAAAGUGUUAUAUCGAUUUGUAUGUAGGGAUUUCUAUCGGUUAAUAUCAUCGUAAUUACACCUGCCGGUACCGGGAGAGAUAAUAAAAGGAGGAAGGCUUUCACUAGAACGGACCAUACAAAGAGGGGAUGGAAGACGUGCAGAGGGUGUUACAUAAAUGUUUUUCGCCUCUUUUUAAAGUCCAGGUUAAAUGUUCAACAACAGUUGAGAAAAUCUUCUCAUUCAUAGCAAAAAGACUAAACAAAAGUUGCUAAUUGAUUUGUUUUUCGUUCGUUAUAUGCACCGGUGAUAUACUGUUUCCCAUUCAUCUAUAUAGAGUUCUCCAUCUCUGCAUCAGUAAUAUACUCCUCUUUUUUAUUAUGUAACCCGCAUGUAGAUCUUGGGAAUAACCUAAAUUUGAUCAAAAUCUCAGCAAUGAAAAUGCAGAUAAUUUUCAAA